rnacentral:ncRNA from 1 species
UGUGUGUGUGUGUGUGUCUCAACCCAAAUGAGUAGGGGCCUGGCAAUGAGGUUUAGGAAGCACAAAAUGUUCAGCUGAAGCUCUUUUAAAAAAAUCAUUUAUUUCUUUUGGAGGGCAAGUCUGGUGCCAGCAGCUGCGGUAAUUCCAGCUCCAAUAGCGUAUAUUAAAGUUGCUGCAGUUAAAAAGCUCGUAGUUGGAUCUUGGGAGCGGGCGGGCGGUCCGCCGCGAGGGGAGCCACCGCCCGUCCCCGCCCCUUGCCUCUCGGCACCCCCUCGAUGCUCUUAGCUGAGUGUCCCGCGGGGCCCGAAGCGUUUACUUUGAAAAAAUUAGAGUGUUCAAAGCAGGCCCGAGCCGCCUGGAUACCGCAGCUAGGAAUAAUGGAAUAGGACCGCGGUUCUAUUUUGUUGGUUUUCGGAACUGAGGCCGCCUCCCGUGGCGGCGACGACCCAUUCGAACGUCUGCCCUAUCAACU